UUUAUGUAGGAAAAGAGCACCACAGAAGCUAUGCCGAUUCCAACUAUUGAACGCUGUAGAUCACAGAGGCUACAGAGUAAUGAGCUGCCUGAUGCAUCUUCACCUGUACCAACUAGUAGAGUACGGGUCACUAAAAAUUCUAUUCGACUCACGUUAAACCGGUAAUUCCACUAUUAUGGAAGACUGAAGCAAUAACUGAGCAGCUCACAAGGUAUUUUGUGGACAAUGCCUGCAUUGCUGCCUAUACAUACUGGUUUGUAUGAAUUGUGGCAGAAUGAACCUUCUCCUGUUUCCAGUCCAAAGCUGUGUACUGCCAACACUUUCUGCACACAAUUUUAUAGACUUUUUAAAAUCCCAUUUUUCAUUUUUUUUUUUUCUUUGCAAA